GCAGAAACGAGUAGACUGUAUUUAAUUUUCACAACCUCCCCCCAUUAUUCUUUACUUUCCUCCUCUGGUUUCUAAAAAGAGAUAAAGAAAUUGACUUCACCAAUUUGUAAAUGUGUUCUUCUCAGAAACCCUAGAAUUCCUUCAACAAACACCAACCGGAUUCCUAGAUUCUGCUCUGACCCAGUUUAGCCAUGGCCGCUUUCUUCAUUUCCGCUCGUUUUAUUGCUUUUGGUUUCCUCAUUUUUCACCUCCAAGUGUUGUCUGCUCACCCGAAUUCCUCUUUUUCUUUCGAAACCUUUGACAAAAAUUCAAACUUUGAGUCCGUCAUUGCUCUUUAUGGUGAUGCAAAUGCUGUUAAUAAUGGGUCUGCGCUUCAACUUACUAGCUCAGUAAGUUCCAGUGCUGGGCGAGUCAUGUACAAGAAACCCAUCAAGCUUGUUGAAGGUAAACCUGUGAGUUUGGUCUCUUUCUCCACUUAUUUCUCGUUUUUGAUGUCUCCUGAUAAUGGAGAUGGCUUGGCUUUUGUUAUGGUUUCUGAUGCUUUUAAUGCCAGUUCGUUUUCUAAUAUCCCAUUUGGGCUUUCUUCAAGAUCAGAGGAAAGUGAUUCUGAACUUAUUGUUGAAUUUGAUACAAAGAGGGAUGCUAAGUAUGGUGAUUUGAAUGACAACCACGUGGGAAUUAAUGUGGGUGGUUUAGUAUCAGUUGAGGUGAAAAAUGCUUCAUCUGCUAAUGUGGUGUUGAAUGAUGGGAAGAGAUUGAGUUCAUGGAUUGAUUAUGAAGCGAGUUCCAAGAGGUUAGAGGUUAGGUUGAGUCGAUUUGGUGAUAUAAAGCCCAUUGAUCCAUUGCUCUCUUUCCUAAUUGACCUACCAAAAUUGUGGAAAGAUGAGAAAAUUUUUAUUGGCUUGAGCUCAUCCAAUGGGAAUUCCUCUCAGGCAUGUUUUAUCUAUUCGUGGAGCUUUGAGCUAAGGAUUGUUCCUCAGUGGAUGCAUUCUGAGCCUCUGGACCCCCAGGCUUUUGCUAAAACUGUGAAACCUGUGGUAAUUCACAAGCGGAGUGCUUGCUUUUUGAGAGUGCUUGCUGCAAUGAUAUUUGGUACUGCUUGUGGAGCACUAGGAGCUUUCAUUGUCUUGUAUCUGUGGACCAUCUUUGGCAAUAGGCGACUGGUGGUGCCAGCGGAGUGCUCUGUGCACCCUGUGGAUUUUGAAUACAAGAAAUUCAAAGUAGUUGUAGAGAAAGCCAUCGAAGAUGGCAAGCAGUAGACUGGUUUGUGGUGAGGUUUUGGAUGUUUUGUGUUGUAAAUUCAUGUUCUUUUUGUAUGUGAACUUGCAGGUUUUGAUGUGUUGUUGUAACUGAUGAUCGAUUGUUCAAAUGUAGGUUUUGUUACAUAUUAUCUAAUGAUGGGAGCAUUCAGAAUUUUAGAUUUCACUCUUGUUUUUAUAAGACUCUAAAUCUGUUUUAGAUGGAUAGUUGAUUUAAAUUUUACUUAGUUAAGUCUUUCUUAAGCCG
rnacentral:misc_RNA from 1 species